ACUCGAGUGGCGAACGGGUGAGUAACACGUGGGUGAUCCGCCCUGCACUUCGGGAUAAGCCUGGGAAACUGGGUCUAAUACCGGAUAGGAGCCAUUUUUAGUGUGAUGGUUGGAAAGUUUUUCGGUGUAGGAUGAGCUCGCGGCCUAUCAGCUUGUUGGUGGGGUAAUGGCCUACCAAGGCGGCGACGGGUAGCCGGCCUGAGAGGGUGGACGGCCACAUUGGGACUGAGAUACGGCCCAG
rnacentral:rRNA from 1 species